AAAAAUCCAAACCUUAAAAGGGGGGUAUGUAACGGUUAUUCCGUUACUAAUUACUAAUUUAUUUUAUUAUUUUGUAUUAGGUAAACAUUAUUUUAUAAUAAUUAAUUUUUUAUUAACAAUAAGAGAAUGUCACGCGCAUCGGCUAAAAGGUCUGGGAGCAUGCGCCGAAAGGCAGGGAUUUCACCCCCGCGCCCGGACGAGGGGAAUGCGUUCGGGCAAGCGUCAUUAGGAGGAAUCCAAUAAAACGCGAUCGAACUAUAUUCGCAAAUUAUAAAAUUACUGAACAUAAUAUCUACAGCCUUGUGUACCCCGGAUUGGGGUUCACCCGCUUGCUUAGCGCUCUGCCCUACUGCCUGCUACUAGCGUCGGUCACACCGGUUCCAGUCGCGUUCCACGGGUGUGGUUGCAUGAACCUUUUGCCUGCUGCAGUUUACCUACGGGUGCUACCUACUGCUUGCUGCUGUAGCAAGAAGACUGCACGCUACUGCACUCAGCGCCGCGCACCAGGAACCCAAGGCCAGUGUAUUCAAUCGGUGGAGAAUGUGUUUUGGACAAUGGAUGUUCUAAUACCCCGACCCCUUAUAGAAUAAGUAACUUAUAUAAUAUUUUGUUUACCUUUAUUACAUAUUUUGUUAGCUUU